CACAUGCAAGUCGAGCGGCAGCGGGAAGUAGUUUACUACUUUGCCGGCGAGCGGCGGACGGGUGAGUAAUGUCUGGGAAACUGCCUGAUGGAGGGGGAUAACUACUGGAAACGGUAGCUAAUACCGCAUGACCUCGCAAGAGCAAAGUGGGGGACCUUCGGGCCUCACGCCAUCGGAUGUGCCCAGAUGGGAUUAGCUAGUAGGUGGGGUAAUGGCUCACCUAGGCGACGAUCCCUAGCUGGUCUGAGAGGAUGACCAGCCACACUGGAACUGAGACACGGUCCAGACUCCUACGGGAGGCAGCAGUGGGGAAUAUUGCACAAUGGGCGCAAGCCUGAUGCAGCCAUGCCGCGUGUGUGAAGAAGGCCUUCGGGUUGUAAAGCACUUUCAGCGAGGAGGAAGGCCAAUAGCUUAAUACGCUGUUGGAUUGACGUUACU
rnacentral:rRNA from 1 species